rnacentral:rRNA from 1 species
UACGUAGGGUGCAAGCGUUGUCCGGAAUUAUUGGGCGUAAAGAGCUCGUAGGCGGUCUGUCGCGUCGGCUGUGAAAUCCCGAGGCUCAACCUCGGGUCUGCAGUCGAUACGGGCAAACUUGAGUGUUGCAGGGGAGACUGGAAUUCCUGGUGUAGCGGUGAAAUGCGCAGAUAUCAGGAGGAACACCGGUGGCGAAGGCGGGUCUCUGGGCAGUGGCUGACGCUGAGGAGCGAAAGUGUGGGGAGCGAACAGG